AAUAGGGUGUCUGAUUUAAGUAGUAAAUUGUAAAUUUAUUUAAGGGCCUUAAUGGUUUCCUCCUAUUA
rnacentral:tRNA from 1 species